GUCAGAGAUGGCGUAGAGGGGUUGA
rnacentral:piRNA from 1 species